UCAUCUCAGAAAGUUUAGGAGCAAAUACCCUUUGUCCUUUUCUUUAGUUUCUCGAAUAAAGAUACAAUUUGGUUAUAUCAUUUGCGUCUAGGUCAAUCCAUCUUUUAGGGUUCUAAAAGUCCAUGUUUCCUCCUCAUUGUUCCAGAGGUUCGCUAUUUUCUGAGUUUCAUUGGAUAUCCUGUGAAUUGGCCAAACAUACUCGUGCAUCUUUUUUCCUGUUAGCAAUAAAAGAAGUUCUAUCCAUCCCUUUCAUUUAAUUCAUAGUGACAUAUGGGGGACCUUCUUACUAUACCUAAUGUUUCAGGGGCUCGUUGUUUUGUAUCCGUAAUUGAUGAUUUUGCACGCGGUUACUGGCUAUUUCUCCUCAAACAAAAAUCUGAUGUUGGUAUUGUUGUACUAAGUUUCCACUCAAAUGGUUCAACCUUCAUUUUGCGUUAAAUAAAAGCUUAGGACAGACAAUGCUAGGACUCUUCAAACCAGAUUUUAUCACCCUACUUUCAAUCACAGGGUAUUAUCCAUAGUCGUCAUGUGUUACACGCCUCAACAAAAUGGGGUAGUGAGAGGAAAAAUGGGCAUUUACUUAACACCACCCAGCAUUACUAUUUUCAAGGAAAUGUUUCCUAGUCCUAUUGGGGAGAGCUGUCCCUUACUGCCACACACAUGAUAAUAGACUUGCCAUCACGGUGUUGGACAUAAAGUCCCAUAGAAAUCCUUAAUAGCUUCUACUCUCAUGUCAUAACAUCAAUGGCCUCACACCUAGGGUGUUCGGGUGUACUGCCUUUGUUUCAUGUCCACAACCACUAGAAGCAAACUAGACCCUUCGAGCCAUAAUGUGUCUUCCUUGUUACUCAUUCCACCAAAAAGGAUACAAUGGCUACAAUCCCUCAUCCAAAAAAUUUUUACAAUCUCCCGCAAAUGUCACUUUCACACAUAAAAAAAAAAAAAAAAGAAAUAUACCAUUUUUCUCUAAGUCCUCUCUUCACGGUGAGAAUUCAAUGAUGAAGAUAGUCCCCUUGUGAGACCUUUGAACACUCAAAACACUUGACCUUCCUUGUGGUUCCAACCCUAUUGUUGACCCUGAAUCCCAGUCCUUAGAACAAGUCACAUCAGAGUCACCCAAGUCUCCCAUUGUAAACGAGUCAUCUCAAGUGUAUUUCAAGGAGAAAGGCCGUUCCAGAACUGACUACGCAAGUCCAAUAGUCAACUCCGACCUUGAGAAAUAGAUCACUGUAAGAUCUGAUCCAACUUUCACACACAACCUGUUGAAGAGAACAUCUAGUGACCCAACAUAUGACCUUCCCUUUGCUAUAGAAAAAGUAACCAAGAAUUACUAAACGACCACUCUAAUCCAGUUAUCUCACUAUGUCUCUCUUGAGCGCUUGUCACCAACCCACAAAAGGUUUAUUAUGAUUCUAACCACCAUGUCUGUUCUAAUACUAUUUUUUGAGUGCAUUCUCAAAAGGGAAUGGAGGGAUGCUAUGAGAGAGGAGAUAGUGCAUUGGCAAAGAAUAAAUUGGAGACUGUUUGUAACGCCGAGGGAAAAACUGUUGUUGUAAGUGGAUUUUCACAACAAAAUAUAAGGCUAUGGAUCCCUUGCGAAGAUUACAGCACGAUUGGUGGCCAAAGGAUACACGUUCCAACCUACGGGGUUGAUUACCAAGAGACGUUUGCUCCGUUGGCAAAAAUGAAUACUGUGAGAAUCUUGUUAUCAUUGGCUGCUCACCUAAACUGGCCACUUCUACAAUAUGAUGUUACAGAAUGCGUUUCUUCCGGGACUUAGAUGAUAAAUCUACAUGACAUCCACCAGGUCCUCAGAGGAAACACAGGUAACAAGGUGUGCAAGUUGAGAAAGGCCCUUUAUGGAUUUGAAGCAAUCUCUAGGCUGGUUUGGGAGAUUUUGCAAAGGUCAUGAAGAAGUCUGGGUAUAAACAAAGUCAAGGGGACCACACUCUCUUCAUCAAGCAUUCGACUUGCAAAAAGGGGGAGUACCUGCUUCUUCUAGUUUUAUGUGGAUGACAUCAUAGUGCUGGGAAUGAUAAAGAGAGAAGCAUGAAUUAAGCAGAGGCUGGUAAGAAUUUGAGAUAAAGGACUAGGGAACUAAAUACUUUCUUGGUAUUGAGGUGGCAUAUUCUACACAAGGGAUCUUCAUAGCUCAGCAGAGUUAUGUGACUGCUUUUAUUGGCAGAACAGGGAAAGGUGGGUGUAACCAGUCUCUACUUCCAUGGAUCCAACCUAGUUGGGAGAAGCUAAAGAAGAACCCGGCUGUUUGACACAAGAAUGUACCAGAGGUGGUUGGUAGAUUGAUAUAGCUUGCUCACACCUCGGCCAGACAUGCAUACUCGGUGAGCGUGAUUAGUCAUUCAUGCAUUAUCCAAGAGAAACCUCAUCUCAAGCGCCUUACAUGGUGUUGCAUUACUUGAAGGCAAAGCCAGGGAAAGGAAUUUUGUUCAAGAAAAAUGACAGUCUUAACUCUAGAAGCCUACCCGACGCUGACUAUGCCGGUUCCCCCCUAGUGGAUAGAAGAUCACUACAGUACUUUUCCUUGGGAGGUCACCUAGUAAACGUGGAGGAGCAGAAGCAGAACGUGGUGGCAAGAUCUCUGCAGAAUCCAAUUUAGGGCUAUCAGCUCAUGAUUGUGUGUGUGAACUACUAUGCCUGAAGAUUAUUUGGAUAUUUGCUAGUCAAAUGGGAAGGUCCCAUGAAACUUUAUUGUGACAACAAGUCGGCUAUCAUAUUGCUCAUAAUCCUAUUCAACCGAUAGGACAAAGCAUAUUGAAAUUGAUAGACAAUUUCAAUUAAGGAAAAACUGGACGGAAGGAUUAGUGUGCAUGUGCAUGUUCCAUCAGAACGUCAUUAGCUGAUUGUUCUAACAAAGGGCCUUGAACAGUUUCAAGUUUUCACGAUCUUGUAUUUCAAGCUGGGAUGGAGACCAUCUAUUCCUCAAGCUUGAGGGGGCGUUGUCAAAGUGUAGAUAUUCGAUAGGAGAAUUUGUUUCACUUUCCUUAAAUUAAGGUUUGAUAUAGAUUAGUGCAGCAUUAGAGUUGAAAUUCUUAUUCAACUUUCCUUAGUCACUUUGGAAUCCUGAAUUUUCUCUGAUUUACCUUUUUCUUUUUUUCUUUUGUAAGUCUUCUAUAUAUUAACCGUGUAUCAUCAAUGUUAAGAUGUGAAGAGAAAGAAAUACAGAAUUUUUUUUCAUCCCUUGUUUGUGACAGUUAGCUUACUUGGGUCAAGCCACUCAAUUUUUUUACAUGGUGGUACUGUAGUUCCAUAUUUUUGAAAAAAGAAGAGGGCAUCAAGGUAAUCUUGCUCUUAUCGUUCAUCCUCUUGGUAAAGCCAAUUAGGCACGUUUUCAAAUGUAUAGUAAGUACCAUUAAAGUUCAGUUCCUCAUGAUUAGAGGUCAGGAGAGUGGGGGAUCUCGGUUGCCGUGGUUGGCUUCGGAUUUGUAGAAGGAAUGUUAAGUUGUGUCAAGUUGAUAGUAGAUGAUGGGGAACGGCGGAGUAGGGAUGACCAUUUGCCCCUAAAAUUGAUACCCGUCGGGCCCGCCCGUUUGGCAGAUUUAAAAAAAAAAUUAAAACCCGAUUAACUAAUCGACGGCGGGAGGCGGGGGCGGGUUUAGCCUCCUCCCACCCCGAACCCACCCCGAUUAACCCGAUUAUAUAUAAAAAUUAAAAAUUUCCAUAUUUUUUUUAAAAAUAUACCAAAUCCGUUACAUAUAGAUAGAUAUAUUAAUACCAAUAAUUAUAUAAAAAAAAUAGAAGUAAUUAACCAAAUUAUUAAACAGGGCGGGGGUGGGGGAGGCUGACUCGCCCGUUGCCAUCCCUAAGCGGAGGUGGUUAAGGGGGCAGGGGAGGGGUUGGAGAGGGGUAGGGCUGGAAAAAAAAGGAACACAUCAACAAAAUCGAAAUGAACUUUCGGCUUUCUGUCGGUUUUCAGCCCCACCGGUCGGUCAACUUAGGUCCACGAGUUUUCUAAAGUUUGGGAACGUUUGGUAAUGUUUUUACUUUUUUAUUUUUUGUGUUUGUUUUAUUCUUGUUUCGUUUUGUUUAACUUUUUAUAAAAUAGAAACUAAAAAUAUAUUUGUGUUCAUCUUUUUUUUAAACUAUUUAAAAAUAAAAAUAUAUGUGUGUUCAUAUUUUUUUAAACUAUUUAAAAAAAAUAGCAGUGGUGGUGAUGGAGGAGGAGGAGGUGGUGGUCAGUGGCGGAGCCAGAAAAAAACUUUAGGGGGGGCAACCGUUGAAUUUUUUUUCUAGGGGGUAUUUAUAAUUUUGAGGGAGGGCAAAUUAAAUUUUUUUCUUAAAACUAUAGGCAAAUUUUUUUUUUCCAAACUUGAGAGGGGGCAGCUGACCCCCCUGGGUAUUAAUUGGAUCCGCCCUUCUUGUGUGCUCAGUCAGAGAACACGAGGAGCAUGCGAGCCGACCAGAGGUGAAGGUGGUUGUGGUGGUGGCGGCGGCGGUGACAUGUACAAUCUAUAUACAUGUAUUUAUGUGUGUGUAGAGAUAGAAAGAGAAGGGGUAACACAAGAGGGUUAAAAGGGUAUUAAUUAAGUUUCGAUGGCUGAAAUCAUCAUUUUUCGUUAGUUGUCUUAAUGGUUAAAUGACUACGGAGGGGAUAUUGUAAUGAAACUCUAAAUUUUAAUGAAGGUGAUUGUAAUUAUUAGAAUGUGAGGGAGGUAUCUAUAUUAAAGGCAAAUUACAGGGAGGUUAUUUUAAUUUUUCAUAAUAUAUAUUAAUAUAUAAAAUAUAUUUGAUCUCGACCAUCUGCUGAGAUCCUAUUUUAAUCGUCCAUUAAAAUACAAAAAAGCUCUAAUAUCUUUUUUCUUCAAACCGACUCGGACCGACCUAACUGAAGGGAAUAAAAGCAAUCUGUCCGAUGCCAAUUUUGGUCAGUUUUGGUCCACUAAUAUAUCGGACUGAAACCGAUCAGUUCUAAACACUUUUGGACUGACCGAACCAAACCGAUACACACCCCUAGUCAGGGGUAGUGACAAGUGGAGGAGGAU
rnacentral:lncRNA from 1 species